UACGUAGGGUGCAAGCGUUAAUCGGAAUUACUGGGCGUAAAGCGUGCGCAGGCGGUUUUGUAAGUCUGACGUGAAAUCCCCGGGCUCAACCUGGGAAUUGCGUUGGAGACUGCAAGGCUGGAGUCUGGCAGAGGGGGGUAGAAUUCCACGUGUAGCAGUGAAAUGCGUAGAUAUGUGGAGGAACACCGAUGGCGAAGGCAGCCCCCUGGGCUAACACUGACGCUCAUGCACGAAAGCGUGGGGAGCAAACAGG
rnacentral:rRNA from 1 species